AGACUUUAAGCUACUCUAAUUAAAAUGAAACAAAUUUCACUCUAAACAAAAAUUUGUCAAAAAAAAAUUUAAAAAAGAAAAAAGAGAGAUCUGAAACCCUAGAUCUACUCUCCGCCACCACAAAUUCAUCUCUUCGCCAUUGUCACCGUCAAGUCGCCAUGGCGUCUGAGAUCAGAGGGAGAGUCAACUCGCCGCUGCUGCCAUUCAUGUCCUCAUCGUUGCCGCCAUCAAGCUUCUAGGUCAAUGUCCUCAUCUUUGAGGAGCUUUGUGAUCUUGUUUUUUGUUAACCGGUGGUUUAGAUGUGGGAAUCCUUUCGAUGCCGUGGGAAGCGUUAAUGGUACACCAUGACUGAAUCAAUCGGUGAAGAGUGUGGUUUGGAGUUAGAUCGGAGAAAUCAGAAGAACAGAGUUGUUGCUUCGUUACGGAGCAGAUCUUGUUCUUGCUGGAGAAGAGCCAUGUCUCGAUGCUCUGUCUGUUGUAGGUGAUGCCGGUGAAAACGGUUACAGGAUCCUUCAUGAUUUCAAGUGAGAUUGGACAGAGAAAGAAAGGAGGAAUAUCGAUCUCAUUAUCCAUACUCUAAUGCUCUAUGGUUACAGGCUUAGAUUAUUAUUAUUAUUAUUUACCUGGUUCAAGGUUCUUGUUGCCACAGUGAGCAAACUAUCAUUCUUUUGCAAUGAUAAUACUAAAACAAAUUUGCUUAUGAUAUCAAUUAAUUUAGCCUGAAAUAUACUUUGGUUUACAAGUCAAUAUCAUUGUGCUUGUAAUUUUAAUGGUGUUUUAUUGAUGCAUUGGGUUGCUUAUAUGCUUUAUUUAGUUCAUCCACCACUUGUUCUGUUCUAAUAACCUUUGACUAACAUAGAUCCUGACCUUGCCCAAAAGAUUGGAGCUGCAACCACUCUCGAAGUCAGAGCAACGGAGAUUCCUUAUGUCUUUGCUCCAUGUAUUGCGGUUUGUAGAGAUCCAAGAUGGGGUCGGUGUUAUGAAAGCUAUAGUGAGGAUCCUAAAAUUGUGGAACAAAUGACAGAGAUAAUACCUGGACUACAAGGAAGUCUCCCUGCCAAUGCCAAGAAGGGAUUUCCAUAUGGUACAUAGUUACAUAAUUUUCGUGUUUAGUGCUUAUGCAUCACUAAUGUUGUAAUGUAAUAAUUAACUAAUAAGUUUCAACUUUAAGAAAUUAAUGUGGUGGAUGGCAGUGGCUACAAUUGUUGGUACUCUAGUGGCGUUUCUAAUAGUGCCUAUGCGAUCUCUAGGCUCUGAUAACUGGAAAAUAAUUGCUGCUCUCAUAGGUAGUUAUAUUGGUGGAUGUAAGUGCUCAAACAAUUUGCCUUUGAAUUUAAAUGCAUGGAGGUAUUGAGCCUCAAAUCGAGCUGGUAUUGCUUAUCAUGGAGGUAUUGAGUCUCUAAUCGAUCUUCUUGGCUCAAAGAAUGCGUCUAUCCAGCACAAUGUAGCUUUUGCUCUAUAUGGCCUUGUGGAUAAUGAGGUUCAAGCCAAGGCUAUUGUUUGAGAAGAUAAGAGGGAAGAUGCUAAUAUUUGUUGAAGACUCACUAAAAAGAAAAUAGUGGGAAUAAGUGGUUUGUAUGUUUCACCGAACAAGAGUAUAGAAAUAAUUAUAAUUAACUAUUAGUAAUUGGCAUUAAUAAAAAAGCUAGUGUGUAUAUAUGUUAAUCAUUAGUUAAUUACCUCUCUUGCUUUUGUGUUAUCUUGCAAAGAUAAUUCAUCUUCAAUUUUGCCAGCUGUGGCUUCAGGAACAUAAUCUUUGUUCAUAUUAAGUGUUAUCCUGCGCAGGUAUUUCUUCCUUCUUUGUUCAUAUUAGAGCUUUGAUCUUCUAUCUCCUGCACCCCAAGUCAAAUAUUCAUUCUAUUUGAUAAUUCAUUACCCUUCCUAUAAUUAAGAGACAAAUCAAGGUUUUAAUAUAUAUAUAUAUAUAUAUCAAAGGCUUUACUUCACACACAAGAAACUGUCUAGUUGUUUAGCUCUAUGUGUGUUGAAGCUGUGCCUUUAUGAGUGAUCUCUCUUAAAUUUUUUUAAUCAAUUACAUUGACAAACUACACUUGAUAUAUCAAGAGCUUAAUCAUUCAGUUCGGUCAUUGCUUUCUUGGUUCAUAUUUUGUUUCUAGCAGUGUUCCAGGGCUCUCGCUAAGGUGUAAAUAGUAAGGACUUUCUCCAUAAAGAAACUCGUUCUUCACAGCAGUGUUCAAGAAGAGAGAUUCAAAUAUUGCUGAGAGAAAUCAUGAAGAGUAUGAACAAAUUAAAUUUUCACUAGUAUUGGUAACAGAAAACUGACAAAUCUCAAAUCUAGUGUUCAGUUAUAUAUAUAGCAAUGGCCUAACUAUAUCUAACUACUAAGUGCACCUGAUAAAUACAAACACCAACAAUAAAUUUAUUAGUUUAGUGACUAGCUAGCUUGAUGAAUUACUGAAGCUAGCUCACAAUAUCUAUAAGUUUUUUGUAGUGCUUCUAGCUUAUGGUGUCUUUUAUUUUAUUCUCUCUCUUUUCAGUUUAUUUUUUUCUUAAAAAAUAGUGGAUUCCACGAAUUAUUCCCCUAUUCCACGAAUCAUUUUUUUCUUAAAAGCCUUGAUUAAUAGAGCAUGGAUGCAUUAAAAUCCACAAAUAGAUGUAUAGUUAGCUGUUUAUAGCAAUUUAAGUCUUGUGUUUGAUUAUCAUUUUCUUCCGUAAUUAUUUUUGCACCUAAUAUAAAUUUUGAUUGUUUGCAUGUUUUCUUUUCUCACUCUUAAUGACUUUUAAAACUUCAGUGUGUAUUUUCUGGCAUGGUUCAUGUCAUAUCAAAAAACCAGCUUUGUCAUUAUGAGUCAAAGACUUCUCGCCAAUCUUCUCAGGGUGCGGUUUUACUAUGGCCAUCCAGAAGUAUUUGAUAGAUUACUUUUUAUGUAAUUAGAUGAUACUAAAAUAUUACAGUUGUUUUAUUUUUCUUUUUAAAGAAAAACAAUAAUAGUUAUGUAGAAUAAUUCUAUAUGUAAUUAUAUUUUGAAUUAUUGACAUUGAAAAUUUUUUAUUAAUUU